rnacentral:lncRNA from 1 species
AUUUAGUGUAUUUGUUUUGGAUUCACAGAUCAUAGGGCCUAGAUGGCAUGGAACACUGUACCUGUAGUCUCUCUGAGGGUUAGCUGAAUUUUCCUGAAUUUGCUUUGCUUUCACCUGAGAUUACUUGCAAAGAGAUUUCUUGAUUUAUUCCCAACAACAAAGUAGAAAUAGUUAAAGUCUUCCUAAAUGUCACCAGCAGACCACAGCAGAAAUCUCCAAGUAACACCACAUAACACAUGAAUCUGAAGUGGUCCUUGAGUCUCUGUGCUGUCAUGUCCAAGUUUAGGAGUGAGUACUUAUGCAAAGAUGAUGCACUCAGAAACAAAUUCAACUCAUGGUAGUGCAAAUUUGAUUCUACAGGAACCAAAUAGGUGACAUUAACAUAUGAAAGAAAUUGAGGAAGGAAGGAACUGGGUGGAGCUAACUCUAGCAAAGGCAGAGAUGCAGAUGAUAUAAUUAUAUUUCAAUUUUUAAAAGGUAUAUUGAAAUACAAAGGGAAAAAAAUUGAGUUUUUCUGUUCAGAUACGCUCCCUAUACUAAGGAAAUAAACUUUAGUAAGACAUUGUUGCAUACAGAGCCAAAACACUGCUUAAAACACAAAAGUAUUAUUAUGACUGAUGUUUUAGAUGGUAGUAUGAUAAAUGAAAAUUUAUAUUAUUAAUGCAUAUUCACUUACUUGCAAUAGCAGAUGAAAAAUUCAAUUUAUCCCUACCAGUACAAGGUAUAUCAGCCUCUUUUAAUACAUUUGUUCUCUUAGUUCUUAGUAAUUGACUCUAGAUGGAUCAUAUCAACUUACCUGUUAUUUAUAUUCAGUCUGUCAAUGACUAAUAAUCUUAUAAUGUCUACAGACUUAAUGUCUCAUUUCAGAGAGAACAACAAGACCACCAAAAAGACUCUGCUACGUGGAAGUCAUAUUGCUUUUUAUAUCUCAUUAUGUCUCUUCAUCUUGUUUCCACCAUACCAUGCUAACCCCUAAUAUCCCAAUUGAUAUAUACUUUACUCCUUUUUUGAUGGAUUACUUUCAGUUAUUCUUGUUUUGUAUCCAAUAAGGAAAAAAAUUAAAAUAACUAUAUGGUAUAUAUUCUUUCUUAAUCAAAGCUCAUAUAUAUUUUAAUAUAAAUAACUACUUUGGAUUUUCUAAAUUUGCAUUUAAAAUCAAAAGUUAUUUAAGUGGUGAAGCUUAAGAUAAUAUAUAUUUCCCAAUGUGUGUAUGUAGAUUCACUCAGCAAUACUUUCAUUUCUAAGAAAUUUUUAUUUGCACAUUUUAAUAAUGUGAUAUUUGGCUAUUUCUUUUUAUCUCUUAUGAGAUGACUCUUAUCAGAUUUUACUUUUAGAAUUACUUGUUCUUCCAGAGGAAGAAAGUAGUUCAUUAUAUAACUUGAAAAUACCCUGUUCACAAUGGUAGCAUUUUGCAUUGUAAAGUGAUAAUUAUGCAAUUUUAAGCUUCUGUUGCUUAUAUGCAACUACAUUUGAAUCAUCCCCACAAACCAUGGUUUCUCCUGUCUCUUGAUUACUAUAAUUUGUUUAUCCUAUUGUCAAUAGCUUUUGCGAAUGACUUCAUUUAUUUUAUGCUUUGUUAUGCCAUUUAAGCUUAGUAUUGAUUCUCUGUGUGUAUACACCCAGAUAUGCAUGCAUGAAUGUAUUUGCAUAUGAAUGCAUCCUUUUACUUUAAAAUAUAAGCCGUCUAUUUGCACUUAUUGAUACAAAUGAUGUGUUGUUCCCACAUUCUUAUCAAAGGUAUAUUUAAAGUUAUUAAUAUAUUUUCUAAUGGUGUUGCUUUGAAGAUUUUUAAUUUACUUAAUUUAGUAUUAAGAGUCUUAAUAUUUUUGUUUUGCUUACUAGCUUUUUCUAAUAUUUGUCAUUAUGACAUUGGUGUCCUUUUCUUCUCUUUAUGUCGUACAUACUGUGUUUCCUUUAAUUUGAUUUCUUUAACUCUAUAUAGUAUAGAUGUAAUAAAAAGGAAGGUGUCUUUGGCUUACAGAUCAGCAGAUAUGCUUCAUCAUGUCAGGAAAGGCAUGAUAGCUGAACUGGUUCAGUUAGUCUGUUGAUGAAAGAAAAUUAAAUUCAAGGCCCAUGACUCAUGUGGCUUGCUAGUUAGGAGGGCUUUUUGGGCCUAGGGCAAAGAACAAAGGCUGUUGCUGUAAAGUCAUUCCAGGAACUGGCUAGCCAUAAAGAUAGGAGAGGCAUGCAAGGACCCCCUACUAUCUCAACUGAGUUAUGGGCCAUUUGGCCCAGUGCCUCCCUGUCUCCUACCCUUAUGCCAUGAGUUAAAUGUUGACAUAGAUAAGCACCCGCCCUUCAGAAUUGCUGUUACCUUGAUCUGCGCAUACAAUUUGCUGAUGUUAAACUGUCCAAUUGUGUGUAACAGUGCCAAUUCUUCCCCUGCCCCCAACUUUUUUGUAUAUAAACCCCUAGCUUCUGAGCCUCGAGCUCGACUCCUCUGUCUCCUGCAUGAGAUACGUGUCAGCCCGGAGCUCAGUCAUUAAACUACCUCGUGUUUGCAACAAGCCAGUCUCCCGUGAUUCCUUGGGUGCACACACCAUCUCAGGACUUGAGUGGGGGUCUCCCACUAUGGUCUUUCAUUUGGAGAUCCCAACGAGAUUUGUGUGACACCCAGGAACCCCGAAGACCCCUUGGAGGUACGUCUGUGUGAGUCUUAUAUGUUGUCUGAGUGUCUGAGUGCACGAGUCAUGGACCUUGAAUUUAAUUUUUUUCAUGGAAACAACUGUUGUAUCUUGUCUGUUCCAUAAUCAGAGCUCAGUCAGGACUAGAUCACUGUCUUAGCUGUUCUUUAUUGACAUCUGCUGCUUUAAGCUCCCACCAGAACAGUCUAUCAAGCUCAGCUAACAGCAUUCUAAGACUCUUCUAACACACAUCUCCAAACUCUUCCACAUGAUCCAGUAUUAACUCAUUAGAUUUUUGCAUUUUCAUACCAUUCAGAGUUGAUACACAAUUCUUAUACUGUGUGCUGUACAAGUGUUUAAAAAUUAAAACUAUAGCACUGUACAAAUGAUAAAUGGUAGUCUGUUUCUUGAUAAACUUUCCAACUAAUCCCUGGAUAUUUUAGUAAGAAUAGAUCACGCUAAGAGAUGGUUCAUUCAAAUUGAAAGAUAAAGAAACCUAUAAGAAGCCUGUAAAUCAAACAGCCCAUUUGUUUCUUUACUUACUACUUCAUGUAUAUAGGAAUAAAAAUAGGUUGAAUUUUAUGUUUCAAGCAAUACAUGAAGCAAGUCAAUAAUAAAGCAGCAACUUCCAAAAAAAUAAAGGAAACUGAAGGAGAUUGACUAGCAGCAAGGUGCUCUGACCACAAUAAGAAAUAAGUGCUAAGUUUCUAAUUUGCAUUAAAAGGGAAAACAGUAGAGUAGUGUGUAUGAAGUAAUGGCAUUAGACAUUAGUAACAAGCAGAUGUGGUGAAUUAACUUUAAUACAGGGAUAAAGACAUCGUGAUUACAUUAGCUUCCUACCAAGAAUUUCUUAGCUAUGUCAAGGAAAGGACUCCCAAGUGUUGAUUUCUUAAGCUGACAUGGUAUGAAGGGAAUUUAC